AUGACCUUCAUGGCUGAUAGCACGGUAUUUAACAUCAAAUUGUUGCAAAUUUUGACUCCAGCUAGAUAAUGAGCCCACUUGUAUAUUUUGUUUUUUAUUGGAUUCUCUAAGUAAAAGUGUCUACCUCACAGUUUGGCAGCUGCUGUGGGAGAGAAAUGGGGUCCCCAAGAGUCCUAGAAUCAGCAAGCAUCACAUUGUCAGGCCUAUCGCAGACAGAAAUCACUAUUCCCUGACACAAACCCCUCUCUGUGAUGAAACAAAGCCGCUAUGUGGCAGGCCUUCCCAGCAGAGAAUUUUCUCUCCUCUGAUGAGACCUGAGGAGAGAUGAGGAGACAGAACAAAGACCUGGCAUCUGGAGCACAAUUGUGGGAAAAGGGUCUAGAAUUUUCCAUGAUCUGUCAGUUCUCUUUUUUUCACAGCAUCUAUCUCCUGGUCAGCAACUUUCUCCUCACCUUUGGGCCUGAGUGUGCACCCAAGGUCCUGGGUUUAUCCCCUAGAAUGAGGACUCCAAGAACCAAGCCUACUGCUGGACUAACCUCUGAAGAAAGCAAUGCCAGCCGGUGAGAAACAUCUGGAAUCACAGGGCAGUGAGGCCUCGGUAGGGGGCUGCCUUCCUCAGCUUAGCAGUGACUGUCAGAAGGCAGAGAUAAACCAACCAUUUGUCCUUGAAACCUCAAAAAGGGUGAACUACUCAUGCUUCAAGACUCAUGUGCCAUUUUCUCCGAGGGACAGGAUCUCUGGCCCAUGCUCCCGGCAGUGAGCUGGCCAUGUGUGCCCAUACCUACCUUGGACUUACUCUAUAAUAGAAUUUAUGAAAUUGAACGGAUUUGCUUAUAUAUCUGGCUCCCUCCUUUUGACUGCACACUCGCUUAGAUUUUUUUUUUUUUUCUCAAGUGUCGCCCUCAUUGGCAAGCCUUUUGGGAUUCCCUCCCCAGAGCUAGAUAGCUCCCCUGUGCUCCCGCGUAUCCAGAGCUCACGGAUAUGACGGCGCUUACCACACUGUACUUCACGGCACUCGUCUACCACCCAGACAGGGCCCUCCCUGGACGGCAGGGCCUGAGUCUCAUUUAUCUCUGCACGUCCAGAACUGGCAACGUAACUGGCAGAGAUUAGUCAACAAAUGUCUGUUGAAUGAUGAGAAAAUCAACUUCCCACACUUCCUCAUUUCCCUGAGUGGUUCUUACGUGCAUCUGGCUGGCCCCUGUCCUUUUUGCUGACACUUAGAGAAUUUCAAAAUAGUCCGGCUGCCAACCUCCGCUCUCUCACGGCUGAGAGCUAUGAUUGUGUGCUCCGAGAUUCACCACCUUCAAGCCCAUCGCGAAGGACUCAUUUAUUCCAAACGAUGUGGCUUCCUUCUCUCAAGCUAGAAGGAGGCCUGGUACGGAACCAGGAACCGGUGAACUUCUCAAGAUUGGAAGCGGCCAGAGAGACAUGGGGCUGGUAUCUUAGCACGUCCAUGGGAAAAAGGAACGUUUGGAAGUUUUCCCCUACCCCGUAGUGCUCCUGAGUUUUCAGGGAUAGGA